GGGGUAGAGGGUGCGAGGAGGGGGGGUAAGACGGAGUGGGGGAGAGUUGACGGGGUGUAUUGGGCGUGAAGAGUGUGUAGGCGGCGAAGUAAGUCUGCGGUGAAAACUGGAGGCUUAAGCUCGGGAUGUCGGCGGAAACUAGUGGGCGAGAGUCCGGAAGAGGAGAAUGGAAUUCCCGGUGUAGCGGUGAAAUGCGCAGAUAUCGGGAAGAACACCCGUGGCGAAGGCGGUUCUCUGGGACGGUACUGACGCUGAGACGCGAAAGCGUGGGGAGCGAACAGGAUUAGAUACCCUUGUAGC
rnacentral:rRNA from 1 species